rnacentral:rRNA from 1 species
UACAGAGGUCCCAAGCGUUGUUCGGAUUCAUUGGGCGUAAAGGGUGCGUAGGUGGCGCCGUAAGUGGGGUGUGAAAUUUCGGAGCUUAACUCCGAAACUGCAUUCCAUACUGCGGUGCUUGAGGACUGGAGGGGAGACUGGAAUUUACGGUGUAGCAGUGAAAUGCGUAGAGAUCGUAAGGAAGACCAGUGGCGAAGGCGGGUCUCUGGACAGUUCCUGACACUGAGGCACGAAGGCCAGGGGAGCAAACGGG